AUUCACAGGAGGAGAUAAGGUGUGCCACAGUACCACUGAACUCAAAAGAAGGCGAGUCCGUGCAGUGCGCGUUCAUCAGUUGGAGAAACCCUUGAAACAAAGUUACCAAGAAGCCUUUUUUUGGACUCUAUGCAGAAAAUUCCUAAGAUGGUGAUAGAAUCAGGCUGCAGGGACGAAGCACAGACAAAAGAGCUUCUAAGGAACAUCGCAUACACCCAAAGACAACUUAAGAGACCUCACACCAACAAACUUUUAAGUCUCCAUAUGCUAAUUGACCAAAAAACAGGAACAGACAAUGAAGUCCUGCAGAGGGUUAUGAUGCACCCAAAAGGAAUAAUGCUGUGGUCAAAAAAGACACUGUCCGUUUUUUUCCAAAGAUGCAAGGAAGACAUCGUGUAUCUGGAUGCAACAGGAAGUAUAGUUCAAAAAGAAAGUGGCAAAAGUCCACCAUACUAUGUGUAUGAAUUAGUUGUGCGGAAUAGCUUCCAAGGGAGCAUCUCCUCUUCCUGUUGCAACCUACCCGACUUGUGACCACACCACAGCAUCUGUCACCUACUUUCUGCAGGCUUUCCAAACUGAUCUGAUGAAGUUGUAUGGGUAAAAGGGCAGUGCAGAGGCCAGUGAUGAUCAUUUGUGAUGGCUCUUUAGUGCUUCUGCAGUCCAUUUCUUUUACAUUCUGCAGACUAAGCCUAGAGGAUCUUCUGCAGAAGUACUUUGAAGUCAUCAUUGGCCAACAUCAAGCAGAAAGGGGAUAUUGGCCGUCAUGGUACAGGCCCAGCAUACCAGCAUUUCAGCAAGAUCCACAAAGAAGUCAUCCAGUCCAAUAAACAGAACUUUACACAAGACAACCGGACACAGGGCAUUAUGGAAAAAAGUCAGUGGGACCUCAAGUGAAUAAGAUUCCAGAGAAG
ensembl:lncRNA